rnacentral:rRNA from 1 species
UCUCAGGCUCCCUCUCCGGAAUCGAACCCUAAUCCUCCGUCACCCGUUACCACCAUGGUUGGCCUCUAUCCAACCAUCGAAAGUUGAUAGGGCAGAAAUUUGAAUGAAACAUCGUCGGCACAAGGCCGUACGAUUCGUGAAGUUAUCAUGAUUCACCGCGAGUCGGGUUGCCCCGGUCGGCCUUUUAUCUAAUAAAUACGUCCCUUCGUGAGUCGGGAUGUGCGCACGUAUUAGCUCUAGAAUUACUACGGUUAUCCGAGUAGUAAGGUACCAUCAAAUAAACUAUAACUGAUUUAAUGAGCCAUUCGCAGUUUCACAGUAUAAGCAGUUUAUACUUAGACAUGCAUGGCUUUAUCUUUGAGACAAGCAUAUGACUACUGGCAGGAUCAACCAGGU